rnacentral:lncRNA from 1 species
GUCACCAUGAUGUGAGCAGCUUUCCUGGGCCCAGGCCUAAGCUUACCCAGCGUGGACUGAAACUUCUGAAAUGGCUGAGGAUCAAACCCAGGAUCCUGAACAUGCUAGACCUCUGUCCAGGGCCACCGCUCCAUGCGUCAUGGACUUGCCUCUUCCUUGCUGCCUGCAAACUCUUCUGCCAACCGGCUGGCUGUCUGUCCUCUCCUUCCUGUGGAGCAGGGGUCAGGCAGUGGCUCCAUAGAAUCGCUGCUGGUCACUGCAAUUCCUUGUCUUCCAGUUUCCACCUCCUUGCUACUAAAGAGGAAUGCCUGUGUUAUCCUGAAGAAACCACAAGAACGAAAGGAACACUUGCAAGGUUUAAUGAGCUGCUCGCCAAAGUGAAUACUUCAGAAAUUCAAAUUUUUAUUUUGCUGUCAUCCAGUGUCUCAUUCUUUUUGUAUCCCUAGGGUGUCUGGCUUUCAUUUCAAGUCUCUCUUUUAAUUAUGCCUCUAGUCAUUUAGAGCAAUUGUG